rnacentral:pre_miRNA from 1 species
AGUGGGAUAGCUGGGUCAAAUUGUAGUUCCAUUCCAAGUUUUCUAAGGAGUCUCUAUACUGUUUUCCAGAUUGGCUGCACCAAUUUGCAGUCCUACCAGCAAU